UACGUAGGUGGCGAGCGUUGUCCGGAUUUACUGGGCGUAAAGAGCGCGCAGGCGGCCGUACAAGUCGCGUGUGAAAGCCCCCGGCUCAACUGGGGAGGGUCACGCGAUACUGCUCGACUCGAAGGCAGGAGAGGGAAGUGGAAUUCCCGGUGUAGUGGUGAAAUGCGUAGAUAUCGGGAGGAACACCAGUGGCGAAGGCGACUUCCUGGCCUGUUCUUGACGCUGAGGCGCGAAAGCUAGGGUAGCAAACGGG
rnacentral:rRNA from 1 species